rnacentral:rRNA from 1 species
GGACCAUCAUGUCGGUCGUGCCUCGGUACGUACUGGCAUUGCUGGUUUCUCCUCUGACGAACCAUGAUGUCAUUUAUUUGGUGUUGUGGGAUGACAGGACUGUUACUUUGAAAAAUUAGAGUGUUUAAAGCAGGCUCACGCUUGAAUACAUUAGCAUGGAAUAAUGAAAUAGGACGUUUGAUUCUAUUUUGUUGGUUUCUAGGAUCGACGUAAUGAUUAAUAGGGAUAGUUGGGC